GAUAAAUCUCCCCCAUAGUCUGUUUUACACAGCAUUACACACUAGCACAAUGCAUGGGACAUGAUAGUCACUACUUUUCACACCUCUCAGGUUUUGCAUUAGGAAUAACAUAACAGUCAAGGUUUCUAGACUUCAGACUACCAAAACCUCAGGGAUUUCAUCACCAAGGAAAUGACCAGCCUUAUAUGUGGAGGUUCGUUUCUUGGUGCACAGCCAAAGCAAAUGGACCUAUCUUUCUACAUAGGUCACAACAAGAGAUACUGCAAGUUAUCGACAUCCAGCUUACGAUAGAGCAGCCAGAAUAUCACCAGUUUGUUUUCCAGCUUCAGAACUUUCCUAUUGGUUUAAAGUCGUGUUUAUCUUUUGCUCUGUGAAUAUGUCUUCAUAUUAUCUGUUCUAUUAAAUCAUUUACAACCUCCCCAUGGUAAAAACCAUUGUUUUUGUGGAGUGGAGACACUGUAUAUUCCCAUUCAGAAGUUGGCAAAGCACGAAGGAGCCUCUACAUACGGCCACCACAGAGGCGCAGUAAAAGCCUCGCCACAAGUUAGGAAAUAUUUCUACAGUUGUAAUUAGAUUUAUUUUGAGACUUCAGACAUGAAGAAGCUGAACCUGGGUUUGUUCAAGUGUGGGCAUUAUGGAAACUCAGUUUCUAUGCUCCAACAUACUUUGAAACAUUUUAUGUAGUGUAUGGCCGUAGACUAGAGAUGAGAGAACUUCCAGUAAUUCGAUUAGUCAAAAACUUCUCGGCUCAGCAGUUGCUGACUUUAGC